GUGCCAGCAGCCGCGGUAAUACGGAGGGGCUAGCGUUGUUCGGAAUUACUGGGCGUAAAGCGCACGUAGGCGGACCAGAAAGUUGGGGUGAAAUCCCGGGGCUCAACCUCGGAACUGCCUUCAAAACUAUUGGUCUGGAGUUCGAGAGAGGUGAGUGGAAUUCCGAGUGUAGAGGUGAAAUUCGUAGAUAUUCGGAGGAACACCAGUGGCGAAGGCGGCUCACUGGCUCGAUACUGACGCUGAGGUGCGAAAGCGUGGGAGCAAACAGGAUUAGAUACCCUGGUAGUCCACGCCGUAAACGAUGAAUGCCAGUCGUCGGGCAGCAUGCUGUUCGGUGACACACCUAACGGAUUAAGCAUUCCGCCUGGGAGUACGGUCGCAAGAUUAAACUCAAAGGAAUUGACGGGGCCCGCAC
rnacentral:rRNA from 1 species